rnacentral:rRNA from 1 species
GACGAACGCUGGCGGCGUGCUUAACACAUGCAAGUCGAACGGAAAGGCCCGAGCUUGCUGGGGUGCUCGAGUGGCGAACGGGUGAGUAACACGUGGGUAACCUGCCCUUGACUUUGGGAUAACUUUAGGAAACUGGGGCUAAUACCGCAUAAGAGCAGCUGUUGCAUGGCAGUGGUUGGAAAGUUUCGGUGGUUGGGGUAGCACAUGGGGCUUCGUAGUUUUAUGGUGGGGUUGUGGUAUCGCAUGGCCUUGGCGGGGAGCCGGCCUGGGAGGGUGACCGGCCACAGUGGGACUGGGAUAGCAGCCAGACGGAUACGGGGGGCAGCGGCGGAAGAUAGUGCACAAUGGGCGGAAGCCUGAUAGAGCGACGCCGGGUGGGGGAGGACGGCCGUCGGGGUGUAACCCGCUUGCGACUGUGACGAAGCGUGAGUGACGGUAAUGGGUAAAGAAGCACCGGCUAACUACGUG